rfam:Camelus ferus unplaced genomic scaffold scaffold1407, whole genome shotgun sequence.
GAGGGUGCAGCUUAGUGGUAGAGUGUGUGCUUAGCAUGCAUGAGGGCCUGGGUUCAAUCCCUAUUACCUCCA